AUGGCUCAUUAGAGACAGAGAGAGAGAGUGAGAGAAAGGAGCAGCAUCCAGUGAGAUGCAUGCUGAGACCCAGGAGCUGCAGCUGCAGCAGGGUUGACUCUACAAGCCACAGCAACAGAACUCAAACAGGGUGCCCAGGGAAGAAUCACUGAGCUGGUUUCAGAAAAAGAUCUUACUCUACCCUUAUCUUGACCAUCAUGCAUAGCUAUGCUCUAAAUGUUUGGCUGAAGACAUGUGAAGGACACCUUAGCAUGAUAUCCAGCUGCAUUUGACUUCCUACCCUGAAUAAACAGAAUCCCCCAAAAUAUGGGUAUUCGAUCUGCCAGUCUCCAGUUCUCGGAAUGCACCAUCAUCAUGCUAAAACAUCAUUCUUUUUGAUCAGCAUUAUCCUCUUUCACUGUUAGUUAAGGUUGAUAGUGCAGGAUUUAUAUUGCAUGUUACCUACAAUUUCACAACAGUAAUGAUAUUCAACUCUAGAGAGAAGACAUACACCAGCAGACUCUCACUAUGCUUAAAAAGGGCACCUGUGCUCAAAAGCUUGCAAAAAACAUCUACUCGGUUAGCCUAAUAAAAGAUAUCACAUUUAUCCAAAUAACUAUGUCUGCCUAUGGCAGUAAUGCUGAUUUCAAUAUCUUUCAUUUGUUGGCACAGUACUGAAUUUAUUCUUUCCAGAGCAGUGAUUGAGACUGAUUGGAUUUGACUUUGAUUCUACGCAGAUUGUCCAGACUCUUAACUUUGUUUAGGACUUUGGGUAUAUAAAGAAGCAGAUGAGCCCCUAUGACUUGGCUGUGAUCCCUGUUCUCUCACAAACUAACAGGAAAAUAACAAACCCUUCACCUAGCAACAUUUCUUGACUGUUAUUUGUUAAUAUAUUUGCCAGGAAGAAGCAGAAGGAAAAAACUCUCAAAGUGACAAGUUGAAGAGACAAUGCUGUUAAAAUACUUCCCAAGGUUUCCAAACAAUUCCCAAACUGUUUCCAAAAACACAAAACAAUCCUCUAAAGCUGCUUACCACAGACUUGGAUCAUUCUGGAUGGAGAGUUAACAAAAAAGCAAAAAUUACUAGCAGGCUCUGUCCUGGUUUUGAAAUAGAGCCUUGACAGAUCACUUUCUUUGCAACUUUCUCACAAUACCAUGUCCAUUCAUGUACUCUCCAAAUGAUACACAUUGCAAUCAAUCUGCUCUAUCAUUUAAUAUUUUUUUAAAGUCAUGUAAUUCAUUCUGUCUUUUGUUUUUGCUUUUUUCCCCUUAAACUUUUUUUCCCUUAAAACUGAGGUCGAAGGAAAGACACCCACUGAUUUGAAAUGAUUCACACUUCCCAUUGAUUCAAACUGGCUGCAAGAAUAUUUUUAAUAGAAAAUCUAGUAUUUGAAUUGUAAUUCUGUCCUAGCUAUGCCCCAAGAGAGUCUUAACUAGGUAAUUAAGAAAUCUAGGCUUAAUUUAAUUGGUCCCAGACAAUUUGACAGCAUCUAACUUCCUAAAUUAUCACUCACCACUUCUUUCACCAUUCUAACUAGCUUUCUUACUCCUUUGUUUCUCAUUCUAAUUGUGUUUUCCAUAUGCCCACUGUCAACUCUUUUAGUGAAGACUGAAUUAAAAAAGGUAUUAAGCACUCUGGUACUGUUGGGAGUGAUGGUUUAUCUUUGAUGGACCAGGAAUUCCGUGACCAGCAAGGAUUUUUGUGGGUGAUAUCUCUAUUGGACCAACUGCAUAAGGGUCACAUCUACACAUGCUAUUAAUGCAACUGAAUAUCAAAAUGAGCUGGAGUAAACUAAUCCUGAUGCCACCAUCUGCAUGUGUAUUUAAGCACAGUAAUUUACUGGUUGUAUCCAGCAGCACAGUGAAUUAAUAUACUGUGCCCUAAUUGCCGCAUGUGUGUUGAUGGUGAAGCUUUAUCAUGCACAAAUUAUACUACUGUGCAGUAAAGCAUCUCGUAGACAUGCCCAAGAAGUACCAUAUUGAGUCUGCCCAAUGGUCCAUCCAGCACAGCAUCCUAUCUUCAACAGUGACACAAGCGAUUCUUUAAAGGGAAAGCAUUGAACCAAGUUAUAUAUAGAGUGAUUCAUUACCCUCCCUGGCUUCCACCAUUAUUGUUUAGAGAAGAACAUGCUAGAAGAAAUAUCUGUAACCAUUCUGUUAAACAUCUAUUAAUAGAUCUAUCAUCUGUGAAUUUGUCUAGUCCCUUUUGGAACCUGGCUAUGCUAUCUGCCUCUACUACCUCCCAUGGCAAUGAACUCCACAGGUUUAUUAUGUGCUGUAAAAAAGUACUGUCUUGCUAGUUUUAAACCUGUCUCCUGCUAAUUUCAGUGCAUACCCCCUAGUUCUAGUAUUUUGGGACUUGUGAACAACUGUUCCCUUUUAACUUGGUUCAUACCCUUCAUGAUUUUAUAGACCAUUAUCAUAGCCCCCACUCAAGUCUUCUUUUCAAACUAAAAAGUCCUACCCAUUUUAGUUUCUUCUUGUAUGCAUGGUUGACAUAAAGUUAGAUAAGCUUUCAAUUCCAAUUCAAAUUCUGAUUCUUAAUCAGGAUAUCAUUACAGGUCAUCAAGUGUUAAGAGUUUUUCCUGGUCCACUAAUUAGUGAGCCAACUAGCUUCUUGAUCUUCCUCUUGUUAUUAAUGUAUACAUACAAUAUUUCUUAGUUAUCUUUUCAUGGCCCUUGCUAGUUGUAUCUCAUUUUGGUUUUGAUUUUGUCCCCACAUGCUUUGGCUAUUCUUUUAGACUCAGCCUUAGUAAUUUAACCUAGUUUUCAUUUUUUGAACAACUCUUUCUUUAGUCUCAAGUCACUAAAGAGCUCAUUAUUUAGCUCUUAUUUAGAAGUCUCUUAGAGUACUUAUCUUUCUAUCCUUCUCUAUGGGAUAGUUUGGCUUCUACCCUUGAUGUUACUUCUUUAAGAAACUGCCAACUCUACUGAACACUUUUUCUUUUACACAUGCUUCCUAUGGGACCUUACCUCCCAACUUAACUGGCUUAUUAAAGGCUUUUGUCUUCAAUAAACUCAUUGAAUUGUCUUUAAUCUGAUGUUGUCUUAUGAUAUAGUGAUCAGUGGGUGUGUCUACAUGUUCUUUACUAUGCAUUAGACUAAUUGAAUGCACAGUAAAGUCACCAUUUACACAUGUGCAGCAAUUACUGUGCAGUAGAUUAAUUUAAAUUCCUGUUUGCUAGUACCAACAGGUCCAGGUACUAGAGAAUGGAGCUUUAAACUAAUGUGCCUGAGCACAUGUGCAGACACUGACCCAGGAGCAAAUUGCUCCUGGUCAGCUCAGGUGCAAGGGGGCAACAACUACUGACUGACUAAGCCCCAAGCUUGGAGCUUGGGCCCCAGAUCCGGGUACAGCUCUUCCCGACCACCUGAAGCUUGGGACUAACCCCAAGAUCCACAUCAGUCAGAGCUUCCACCCCCAGAGCCAGGGACAGCUCCCCUCCCUUCCCCUCCCCCCCAGAGCCCAGUCCUGAGCCCUGUGUCCCCUGCCAGUCUGGGGCUGCCCCCAGAGCCCUCUGCCAGCCUAGG